rnacentral:rRNA from 1 species
UGCGUAGGCGGAAAAAUAAGUCAGUGGUGAAAUCCUGCAGCUCAACUGUAGAACUGCCAUUGAAACUGUUUUUCUUGAGUAUAGUUGAGGUGGGCGGAAUGUGUCAUGUAGCGGUGAAAUGCUUAGAUAUGACACAGAACACCAAUUGCGUAGGCAGCUCACUAAACUAUCACUGACGCUGAGGCACGAAAGCGUGGGGAGCGAACAGGAUUAGAUACCCUGGUAGUCC